rnacentral:rRNA from 1 species
AAGGGUGCAAGCGUUAAUCGGAAUUACUGGGCGUAAAGCGCGCGUAGGUGGUUCGUUAAGUUGGAUGUGAAAGCCCCGGGCUCAACCUGGGAACUGCAUCCAAAACUGGCGAGCUAGAGUAUGGCAGAGGGUGGUGGAAUUUCCUGUGUAGCGGUGAAAUGCGUAGAUAUAGGAAGGAACACCAGUGGCGAAGGCGACCACCUGGGCUAAUACUGACACUGAGGUGCGAAAGCGUGGGGAGCAAACAGGA